rnacentral:rRNA from 1 species
UACGGGGGGGGCAAGCGUUGUUCGGAAUUACUGGGCGUAAAGGGCUCGUAGGCGGCCAACUAAGUCGGACGUGAAAUCCCUCGGCUUAACCGGGGAACUGCGUCCGAUACUGGAUGGCUUGAGUUUGGGAGAGGGAUGCGGAAUUCCAGGUGUAGCGGUGAAAUGCGUAGAUAUCUGGAGGAACACCGGUGGCGAAGGCGGCAUCCUGGACCAACACUGACGCUGAGGAGCGAAAGCCGGGGGAGCAAACGGG